rnacentral:lncRNA from 1 species
GAAGAGGUGUAGAGCAAAGAUCCAAGGUCAAAAUCAGAGUUCAUUGAGGUAUUUCUCGGAUUCCUUCUGUUUUAUGCUUUAAACCUCCAUUAGAACACUUCUAGGGCUAGUUUGAUGUAUUUUCCAAACCUUAUAGUAGUAUGGACGCCUUAAUAGGUCGAGAUAUCCCUAGAUCUGUUCAUUUAGGAGAUUUAGAGCCCGAAUCUAUUGCCUUUUUGNAAACCUUAUAGUUGUAUGGAUGCCUUAAUAGGUCGAGAUAUCCCUAGAUCUGUUCAUUUAGGAGUUGUAGAGCCCGGAUCUAUUGCCUUUUUGAAGAUGCUUUGCAUGAGAACCCUAGAUCUAGCCUUUAUUAUGCUUUUUGAGCCUUAUUAUCUUCAUGGAUGCUUAUGGGCACGUAAAGAUAGAAUCUUUACGUGCUAAUCGAGUUAAGGGAGCCCAGAUCUAUAAGUUUUAUAUGCUGGAUUCAAGCAGAAUCGAGUCUAGAGUAGCUGCAUGCAAGCGACUC